rnacentral:rRNA from 1 species
UUCCAGCUCCAAUAGUGUAUCUUAAAGUUGUUGCAGUUAAAAAGCUCGUAGUUGAAUUUCUGACAGGUCAGCGACUCUCGAAGUUGCAAGACUAUGUCAUCCGCCUUGGGAACCUCGUUCGUCGCUUGCGUCAACGGGGGAAACUAGCAAUUUACUUUGAAGAAAUUAGAGUGUUCCUAGCAGGCUAUGCUUGAAUACAUCAGCAUGGAAUAAUGGAAAAGGACAAGAUCCAUUUGAUUGGUUAUUGGAUGUUGUAAUGAUUAACAGGGACAGUUGGGGGCACUUGUAUUCGUUUGUCGGCGGUGAAAUGCUAUGAUUAGACGAAGACGAACUAAUGCGAAAGCAUUUGCCAAGGAUGUUUUCAUCA